CCUGUCGUCUACUCCAAGGUGCCGUAUCUGUAUUCCUGAGAGCGAGGGUUGCCGAAUUGCUAUUUUGUUUAAACGGUUCAAAAACACUGCUGAUCCUGUCUUCUGCUUAUGAUGUGGCUGUCGAUAUGGAGAGGUCUCUUGCCUGUUCUGUUUACUCUGUGGGCUGUGUCCGGUGAUUUCCAGAAUUGCAUAGAAGAAAAAAAUUGCCUCUCUCUGGCCAGACUUGAGGAGAUACAGGUAUGUGUUGAAGGCUGCGUUCCCAACCCCAGUCGGAAAAGGGAAUAUGUGUUGGAAUAUUUCCUCUGAGGAAGACCACUGGAUGAAGAGAAGCAAAAAAAGAAGAAAAAAAAGAAGGGGAAGAGAGGAACUGAGAACGAAAUAAUUGAUUAUGACGAUUAAUAUGAAAACAAUUUUCGGCAAGAUUUUCAAAUGGACCAAGCAUUGGGCAGGGAUAUAACCUUGACAAGGGGACUGAGCUUUUUGAAAGCAUAGAGACCAGCCUCCUUGUGAUUGGAACUUAAUCAUCAAGGAUAGGAAGGAAGUCAACCCUUAGCACCAGUGAUGGAGCUGAGUGAAAAAGCUAGCUGGGUGUAAAAGAUAGGACCUGCAAAUAAAGUUUUU